CUGCGAGCCACCAUCCCUGCUUUGGCCGAGUGCGGGGAACCUCGUUAUGUAUCCGUUUUCUCCACACAGUUCACUGUACCUUUUAGAUGUAAAACGCCAGCGUCUGGGGUCUUGGAGGGCCUCUGGGGAAUGCCCCGCCCAGCCCCCCAUCCUCUCUUCUCUGGAAUAUGGCUCCAACGAGUUCUUUGGCCACAGCCUGCCCUUCCCUCACGUCCGUUCCUGCCACACAGUGGUCAUGCCCUGGAAUGACGAUGCCAAUUGCCUGGUCUGACGCAGCAGUGCAUUCUCUGCUCCCGGCAGAGAAUGGGUUUCUCCUUUGAUCAGCGUGGGACACGUCAGCAGAAGUCGUUGGUUUCGUCCCUCGCUUGACUUAGACGAUACCAGGCCCAUCUUCUGGUAACAUCAGAAGCUGUACCACCGGCUGGAUCCUGCCUUAAUCUUUUCCAAGCUCACACGUCAUCUAGUACAAUGUUUUCCGCAGAGGAGUCCCUUUUAUUUAUUUUUUAUUUGUUUUGGCCACACUGUGCAGCAUGCGGGAUCUUAGUUCUCUGAGCAGUGAUGGAACCCAGUGCCCCCUGCAGUGGAAGCAUGGAGUCUUAACCGCUGGACCGCCAGGGAAGUGCCGGGGAGUCCCUUUUAAAAGGAAAAGUUUUAAGAGCAUUUAAAUUUUUACACCAUUUAAUUUCAUGACUCUUUCUCUUCCCCAUCCCCACCUCGAUGUCUUGGGUUCUUUCUUCUAUUUUUCUCAUCCUCUGUAUUCAGGAAGACACCAAAAUGGUGGCUGUGAAAGGAUUUUUCUCCCUGAAACUUUCCUCUGGGCACUGUUCUCUGUUACUAACAAGAUACACCUUAGAAUCACUUAGUGCCUUAAUAUGAAUCUCUGGGGAUUGAAUUGAACUCACCACUCAGUAAGGCUGGAUUUAAUAAUGGCUUCCUUCUGAGGUUUACAUUUUUAGAGGGAUCAUAGGAUUUUAAGGCAGGGUAACUUGUUCUGACGGUUUCAGAUUAAUUUCCUAUUUGUAUCAGAUUAAUUUCCUAUUUGUAUCAGAAAACCAUUUGCUUGAUGAUUUGAUUAUUUCCUUUCCUAAAGUCAAUUGAAACCAAAUUUGGUUUUUACCCCUUCAUCCAGUUCAACUACUACAGAAUCUCUGUUUUGCUAGUUUAGUAAUAUUAUUCUCUUGUUUCUAAAGUGCUCUAGUUUUGGCUAUGAGUUUUCCAACAGGACACUGCAAGGCAAUCUAUAUAAUUAGCUAAGAACCAUAUUUCUUCAGGAUAACUUCUUCUUUUGGAUAUUUUGGUAACUUUGCCUUGGACUUUUAUUUUCUUUCAUAUUUUCUAGUAUAUGCUGAGAAACAUAAGUGGAUGGUUUAAUAGUUUUGAGUGUGGGUUCAUGAACCAGGUGGCCUGGGUUGAAAUCCCAGCUCUGCGACUUCCUAGCUGUGUGAUCUUGGGCAAGUUACUUAAGCUCUCUGUGUCUCAGUUUUCAUGUCAGUGGUUGUUAAAGAAAUGCAAGUAUCAUUCAGUCGAAAAAAUAUUCCUUCCUUCCUUCCUUCCCUUCCUUCCUCCUCCCUCCCUCCUUCCCUCCCUCCCUCCCUUCCUUCCUUCGUUCCUUCCUUUCUUCCUUCGUCAGUCAUCUACCCAAGCCACAAACUUUUCCAGAGUGCCUGGGACAAUGUGCUAGGCUCUAUAAACAGGGAUACAAAGACAAAUCAUCCAUGGCCUCAGCCCUUAGGAAAGUCUAAUGAGGGAUUUGCUUGUUACUUAUGGUGAGGGUAGAUCACCUGGAAGAAGAAAGCAUGAAUAAGAAAAUUUACCAAUUUGAAGUUGAAGAUCCAGACUCAUUCCAUUCAUCAAUCUCCAAGUUACUUUCUCCGGAGAAAGAGUCAUUUCUUGGGAUGAUGUUCAACUUGAGCAAACACAUGAAAAGAACAUGGAAGCUACUGAUAGUAACUCUGUUCUCCACAAACUGGUUUCCAUGUUGUUGCCAGACAGGAUUCUGGCAUUGGCCAGGGAAUCCCGCGCUCAGAAUGCACCACAGCCAUCAGCCCUGGAGUGCAAAGACCAGAACAAGCCUGAGGGGGCCACCAGCCAAGCCCGGGCGGAGUCAGUCUCCAUCCCAAACACAGCGAUUUGACUGAAAGGGCUUCCACAGAUGCAGCAUAAAUUUUCUCAGCAAAUCAGUUGUAGCCAAACAUCAUAUCUGAGGAUCUCCCACCCUUCCCUGCAAGUUCUUAAUAAAUCUCACCUCUUCUCUGAACUUCCUGAAGCUUCAUCUGUGCCACUUGCAUCCGGGGCACGUGGUUUUCUACAGCUGCAUCUUCUGUACUAGUUUGCUCGGGCCUUCAGGACAAAGUGCCACCGACCAGAUGGGUGAACAACAGACAUUUGUUUUUUCACAAACCUGGAGGCUAGAAGUCCAAGAUCGAGGUGUGGCAGGGUGGGUUUCUCGAGGCCCCUCUGCUUGGCUUAUAAAUGAUGGUCUUUUCCUGUCUCCACGCGGUCGUCCCUCUGUAACUGUCUGUGACCUUAUUUCCUCUUGUUAUAAGGACACCGGUCUAUGGGGUUAGGGCCCACCCUAAUGAUCUUAUUUUAACUUAACUGCUUCUUUAAAGACCAUCUUCAAAUACAGUCAC